rfam:Avian leukosis virus isolate TD2 envelope precursor protein (env) gene, complete cds; and 3'LTR long terminal repeat, complete sequence.
UGUAACGGGGCAAGGCUUGACUGAGGGGACUGCGGCAUGUAUAGGCGCUGGGCGAGGUUUCGGUUGUACGCGGRUAGGAAUCCCCUCAGG